GAGUUUGAUCCUGGCUCACAACGAACGCUGGCGGCAGGCUUAACACAUGCAAGUCGAGCGCCCCGCAAGGGGAGCGGCGGACGGGUGAGUAACACGUGGGAACAUGCCUUUUGGUACGGAACAACUCAGGGAAACUUGAGCUAAUACCGUAUGUGCCCAGCCAUUUAAUGACCUCUCGGAACGAACAGUUUGUGCGAAACGAGAUGCCAUUAAAUGGCCGGGGAAAGAUUUAUCGCCAAAAGAGUGGCCCGCGUCCGAUUAGCUAGUUGGUGAGGUAACGGCCCACCAAGGCUCCGAUCGGUAGCUGGUUUGAGAGAACGACCAGCCACACUGGGACUGAGACACGGCCCAGACUACUACGGGAGGCAGCAGUGGGGAAUCUUGGACAAUGGGGGCAACCCUGAUCCAGCCAUGCCGCGUGAGUGAUGAAGGCCUUCGGGUUGUAAAACUCUUUCGACGGGGACGAUAAUGACGGUACCCGUAGAAGAAGCUCCGGCUAACUUCGUGCCAGCAGCCGCGGUAAUACGAAGGGGGCUAGCGUUGUUCGGAAUUACUGGGCGUAAAGCGCGCGCAGGCGGCUUCUCAAGUCGAGGGUGAAAGCCCAGAGCUCAACUCUGGAACUGCCUUCGAAACUGUGGAGCUUGAGUACGGGAGAGGUGAGUGGAAUUCCCAGUGUAGAGGUGAAAUUCGUAGAUAUUGGGAAGAACACCGGUGGCGAAGGCGGCUCACUGGCCCGUUACUGACGCUCAG
rnacentral:rRNA from 1 species